rnacentral:rRNA from 1 species
AUUGAACGCUGGCGGCAUGCCUUACACAUGCAAGUCGAACGGCAGCGCGGGAGCAAUCCUGGCGGCGAGUGGCGAACGGGUGAGUAAUAUAUCGGAACGUGCCCAGUAGUGGGGGAUAGCCCGGCGAAAGCCGGAUUAAUACCGCAUACGACCUACGGGUGAAAGGGGGGGAUCGCAAGACCUCUCGCUAUUGGAGCGGCCGAUAUCAGAUUAGGUAGUUGGUGGGGUAAAGGCCUACCAAGCCUGCGAUCUGUAGUUGGUCUGAGAGGACGACCAGCUACACUGGGACUGAGACACGGCCCAGACUCCUACGGGAGGCAGCAGUGGGGAAUUUUGGACAAUGGGCGCAAGCCUGAUCCAGCAAUGCCGCGUGCAGGAAGAAGGCCUUCGGGUUGUAAACUGCUUUUGUCAGGGAAGAAAUCCUCUAGGCUAAUACCUUGGGGGGAUGACGGCACCUGAAGAAUAAGCACCGGCUAACUACGUGCCAGCAGCCGCAGUAACAC